rnacentral:sRNA from 1 species
CUCAGGGUCUGCAUGACCCAGUUGGGAACAAGGAUCCCAUGUUGAUUGACUCCCCACCUUGACAAGUAUCUUGUUGUUGGGAUGACCAGCAUGUGACUAUUGGGACAAGAUAGAAGUAUUUACAAAGCCAACAGUUUUGACCAAUUUAUGCGAAUUAGGGCAGAUUUGAGAGUACACUUAAGAGUUUUAAACUUUGUUUGAAAAAACAAAAAACAGUGUUCUUGGAAUAGUUUCUUUGGAGUAGAGCGCAUAAGGCCAAAUUUUAUCUGAUUGUUGGUGAGCACCUGUGGGUUUUUGUGUUCCUUAUGUAGUAUCCCUUAGGUUUGGGUCGAACAAUGUAAACCUUAUCAUUUCCACUGUUUUUAACAUCUCAAAUGAUGUCCCACGUCCUAGGUGCCAAUCCACAAAUGCCCACUCCUACAUCUUCUCCCUCCUCCCUCCAUUUUGCCACUAUGAUGCUGCUCUAAACUCACCCAACUUUUCGAAACCCACCACUCCAGCCUCCUCCUACGUUCGAGCAUCACAUCUCCACAGGACCAAGGGCCUUCCAUCCCAUUGGUUUCAAAUAAUGCCAUCCUCUGAUAUAUAUUGGUUGGUGGUCUAUUUUCUGGGAAGCUCUGGGUCAUCAGCCAGCAUAUAUUGUUCUUCCUCUAUUGCAGGACCUCUCUGUCACAGGACAUCCACUGUUUAAGCACCACCACUACCUCAGGAAGUCCACUGUCUGUGUGUCAACUCCCACUGUUACAGGACCACAAGUGUCUCAGCACUUCAACUAUCACAGCACUUCUACUGUUCAGGAGCUCAAGAGUCUCAGCAUCUCAAGUGUCACAGGACCUCCUUUGUCCAAGAACUGGACUGUCCAAGCAAUACUGCUAUUGCGGGACCUCCACUGUCACAGGAUUUCCACUGUAGGAGCACUACAACUGUCUCAGGACACCCACUGUCCUAUAACCUCCACUAUCCCAGGAAUUCCACUGUCGUAGCACCACCCGUAGCAACUAAAGUGUUUCAGGACAUCAACUGAAGCAAGAUCUCCCAUGAUUCUGCAACUUCACUGCCCCAGGAUCUCUACAGUGACAGGAAUACUUCUGUAUCAGCAAUUCCAAUUUUGCAGGACCUCCACUGUAGCAGAACCUCAAUUGUGCAGCAGCUCCCCUGUAUGUAGAUUGACCUCCACGAUCUCAGUGCCUCCACUUUCAAAGGACCUUCACUGUCACAGAACCGGCGCUAUUUCAGUGCCUCCACUGUCGCAGGACCUACCUCUUCACAGGAUCUGCACUGUUGCAGCAACUGUAAUUUCAAUUUUUCAAAGUCAUUGCUGGUUAUUAGAUUUCAGGCUGAAUGAAAUGAGAUGUUACUUUUGAAAGCAUAAGAAUUUGUUCUAUACCUCUUGUGAUAAAUGCCGUGUUUGCUAGGACCAGUAAACUAUGGAAGACUUCUUCAGCUCAUACCACUCUCCACCUCACUUUGUGGAAGCUGGUGUUUUUAGAGUGUGAUAAACUUCAGGUGAAUGGAUGCAUUCAGCUGCACCACGCUCUAGAGUGGACUACACAGCAGUCAUAUUGAGUCCUUGCUGGGAAGAGAAGAAAUCCAGAAGAAGGAGAAGGCUUGGGUUGGGGGAAGAAUCAUAAAAUACUUAGAGGAUAUUAGAAGGUAAGAAUUAUGGGGAACUGGAAAACAGAGCCAAAGGAAGAAUGAGCACAGAGCAAACUGGGAAGGACAAAGUACAAAGGCACUUGGGUUUUGCCAUCUGCGUGUUCUCUGGACAAUCUCCCUGGGCCACAUUUCUGGGAGAAAACUCUUCCCCCACCCCCUUGUAAGGUUUCAUUCUUGAAGGAAAGCAGCAACACAACUUCAUCAGUGAAUUUCCCCAUUGGAAUUGGUUCAUCCUUUAAUGCUUCUGGGAAAUCCCGAGCUGGGGAAUGUCCUGCUCUCUGCUGAGAGACAGCAGGAAAGUAGGUCGUCCUCUGUUUUCUCGUUGCUACAGCUCUUCUAAGUAUGGCUGAUUGUUGAGUGAAGACACAGGAUACUUCUGGUGUGUAUGUAUGCUUUGUUCACUGUGGGUGUUGUUGGGAGUGUCCUGAAAAGAAGGGCAUGCCCAAUGGCACUUCUGCUUCCUCUUUGACUAGCCUUAUGAUCAUAGGGAGACACUAGGCCAUUGGAAGAUGAGGAGAGCAAUGUGUCUAAGUUGUGUUCACUUCUAUUCCUAUUUAGUCCUAGAGGGAAAUCAGCAAGGGUGUGAGGAAUGCUGCUGUGCACUGACUGUGUGGUGUGAGGAAUGCUGCUGUGCACUGACUGUGUGGUGUGAGGAAUGCUGCUGUGCACUGACUGUGUGGUGUGAGGAAUGCUGCUGUGCACUGACUGUGUGGUGUGAGGAAUGCUGCUGUGCACUGACUGUGUGCUGUGAGGAAUGCUGCUGUGCAUUGACGCUGCCUUUUUUCUUUUCUCCCUACACCUGCAUCCUUCUGGUGGCUCAGGUUGGACAACUAGGUGCCCAUGACCAACUCCUCAUUGUGGAUGGAUUUAGUCUGGUUGGACUUUCUCAGGAAAGGCAGCUGAACUCAUGACUAGUACCAGUUCCACGGUUACCCUGGAAGUUGCAAAUCAAGACAUCCUCUCUCACUGCCUGUCCACCUUUCUUACCAACCCAUUGUCCUCCAUGGUGCAGAGAGAUCAGCCUCCUAUUCCUGGAGAGAAGUGUGCAUAUACCACUAGAACAGCAGCUAACAUCUGUCUCCACUGGAGACCUCUGCACUGAGGUCUGAGAUGACCUGGAACACUUUCUUACUUGUGAAAUAUCUGACUUCUUUGAUACAGUUCUCAACAAAUUACAUUAACUAUCAUUCCUGAAUUUUGUUCACUGAAGUUUUAUUUUUAUUACGCUACUCAAGUAAACUAAUACUAAAUUAUUGAAUCUGGGAAAAUGAGAAUUAGUGUAAAUGAGUAAAUAAGAAAAUGUGAAAUGUUUUUUUAUUGAAAGCAUAGGGUCAACAUUACAUUUUUAGCACAGCAUUUAAAAUACAUGCUUUUUAGAAAACCAUUUAUUUAUUUCCUUUAUAAUCCAAUAUUAGCCCUUCCUGUCUUCCCAGUAACCCACCAUACAAAUCUUCCCUCCAUCGCCCUUUCCUGAAAUGGCAAAGCUCCUUUCGGGAUUUCAACCCCCUUGAAUGCUUUUUAAAAGAUUGUAAAACAGAUCCCUGAGGAAAAAGUACGCCUUUUAUGCAGGUUUAAGCAUCUGAUUGUUUAUUUCUUUACAUUUCACAAGAGCAGACCCCUCAACCUAGACCUGGUUAGGAGCUAAAUUGCAGGAGUGACAAUGCCACAAACAGCAUGCAUCAGUGUAUAGAAAAAUCUUUUUAUUCCUUCAUAGACACAGGAACAGCUGGCUACUUGGCGGGUGAGCCAUAAAGCAGUGUCAGGUCUGGUUAUUCACCCAUUCCCCAGUUUUUGUUACCUCCUCUGUGAGGAAGAAACAUGCAUGAAAUUUUGCUAACAUCUCUGGUGAGUCCCUGAAGUAGUAGAGCUUCCUCUUUUCUUUUCUCAGCCUCUUACCACUUCCAAGGAAGAACUUCAGGAAGAGUUUUACCUACUUGAGCUCCAUUGAGUAGAGGCUGGCAAGGGUCUCUAGUGUGACAGUAAUAUGUGGAUCCAGAGCUCCUCAUUGGAAUCUGUGACAUCCAGACAGGAGCACCUGAACCCUUCCUCCAAGUCAGUUACCCCUGCUUCCACUCUGACUAAGAGUGGUCCUGGCCAUUGGGAAACCCCAGCAGAGGUGCUGGCCACCACUGUUACUGUCUCCCAGCCCAUAUGAACAGACCUCCCUCCACCACCUCCUCUACCACAGGUCCACUACACCAGAUUUUGGCGGCAUUUUAGUGGAUUUGCCCCUCCCACCACCUUCUGCAAACAAGGCAGGAUCCCAGUCUGUUCAGGUGGCUGCUGGCUAGCAAAAGAGAGUGAGGAGCAGCAGCGGUGGUCUGAGAUAUAGAAGGCCUGCCUGGACAAGGAAGCAGAGAGGAAGCACAGGGAGCAGGAGAGGAAUGGGUGACAGAUGCACUCUCAUUCCCUGAACCUGCUUCCUUCUCUUCUUUGACCACACCGACCAAACCAGGAAAACCUUCCACACUGCAGAGGCCCAAGAAACAGUCAUUCUGGUGUUGUAGUCCCCGCAGCAGCCCCCCACUAUUGAGCACAGGGAUCUGCAGUUCAUAACUAUCAGUAAAGAGGAGUUGUCCUCUGGGGAGUCUGUCUCCAGACCCAUGGAAACAAGAUGCCAGGGAGAAGCUGGAGAAGCAACAGCAAAUGCACCUUGUGGAUAUGCUAAGCAAGGAGAUCCAUGAGCUGCAAAACAAGGGGGACGGUAGUGCAGAGGAGAGUGACUGCCUGUGGAAGAAUAUGCUGGAGUGGCAGUUCCAGAAGAGACUUCAGACCAUAUUUCUUGUGUUUCUCCCAGGUUCAUUUCAGAAUACUGUUCAAGAAGCUCAACAUUUGUCGUUUACAUAGUAGAAAUUUAUAACAACAAUGUUUUUGCCCUUCUUGCCUUAGACAGUUCUACAGUGGUGUCUAUGGUUAAGUGCCAGGCAGUGAGAACCCAGGAGUGAUAUUCAGAGGUACAAAGGAUGACCUGCAGGUGUGUGCAGCCGUGCCAGUCUUGUUCACCAUGGGAUGGAAGCGGUCCCUGACCUGUGAGCCUAGAGGUGACCAGGUGCUCCAUUCUGAGACUGAGAGAGGCAGGAUGCCCACUCAAGGGUCCAUAGCAGGGAAGGUUUUCAAGCUAUGUACAGUGCUGGAAAAGCCUACACAGGGCAUACAGUUAGCAGUGAUGUGUUUGCAGGGAGUCCAAGGAACCAGCUUUGUACUGAUGCAGGCCUGUCAUCAGUGCCUUGGCGUUUGUGGGACUCAUCCACAGAGGCAUGCAACUCAGAGAACGGUACCCCAACUUGGUGCACAGGAACUCUUUCAGGUGUCACUUGAUUGUCACAGGUUUCUGCUCGGUCAGCAAGGAAGGGAAGCCUAGCCCUGUGCCAGGAAUGACUGCAUAUGGUCAACACACACUACCCUGGAAGACCCGAGAGUUCAAGGACGGCCAACUUUCACUUAAGCAAACUUGUCCACAGACUGCGUGGGUCCCAUCAGCUGAGAGUAGCCUCCACAUUGCAGUGAUGUGCAAACUUCUGCCUUUCAGCCAUGAUGGACUUUAGGAUCUAACCUGAGGACCCUACACAAGGCACAGGUAGGUGAUGUGUAAAUGAGGCAUGUUACUGGGUCAGGUCUUCAGUGCAGUGUCUUAAGCUGUCAGGCUUUUGGGAGGGCAUAUGCUUCUCUAUUAAAUGAGCUGGCUUCUCUGAAGGCCUCAACUCUGCUGUGUCUGCCGCUCAUGCUCCCUCCUCCAAGAAUCUAACUGUCCCUAGCUCUCUGUGACUGGCUGGUCAGUCAGCCUUCAUGCCACUCCACAGCCACUCUACAACACAGAGCCCACACUGUCCUCUGCAGAAGUUUCACAGGGCUGCUGCUUUAGUCUCUCUGUUGCGCUAUGGGGGUCCAAAGUCAAGUUUCUUAGGUCCCUAGGUGUCCCUGAAAAGGCUCUAGAACAAGGAAGAGGUGAAGAAAUCAGGAAAUAAACUCCUGCAGUACUUCAUGACUACCACUGGAGGGCUCUACACCUUUCUGGUCCUAGUGUGCCACUCAGCAAGCCCUCUCACUCACUCUAAGGUUCUGAGCCUGAUGGAGAGGACUCCUGCUAAACCCAGUGUUCCCAAGAAACUGGCUGUACCGGCAGGGCUAACUGUAGAGGAUUCUCCACGACCCUGAGAACACAAUUUGGAAAUCUCAGGUAGGCAGGGUGUGUGGGGGAGCAACCAGGGCUGGAUGGAGACCUUACCCAGAA